CCCUUAGAGUUUGAUCCUGGCUCAGGAUGAACGCUGGCGGCGUGCCUAAUACAUGCAAGUCGAGCGAACCACUUCGGUGGUGAGCGGCGAACGGGUGAGUAACACGUAGGUUAUCUGCCCAUCAGACGGGGACAACGAUUGGAAACGAUCGCUAAUACCGGAUAGGACGAAAGUUUAAAGGUGCUUCGGCACCACUGAUGGAUGAGCCUGCGGCGCAUUAGCUAGUUGGUAGGGUAAAGGCCUACCAAGGCGACGAUGCGUAGCCGACCUGAGAGGGUGAACGGCCACACUGGGACUGAGACACGGCCCAGACUCCUACGGGAGGCAGCAGUAGGGAAUCUUCGGCAAUGGGCGAAAGCCUGACCGAGCAACGCCGCGUGAAUGAUGAAGGCCUUCGGGUUGUAAAAUUCUGUUAUAAGGGAAGAAUGGCUCUAGUAGGAAAUGGCUAGAGUGAGACGGUACCUAUGAGAAAGCCACGGCUACUCUG
rnacentral:rRNA from 1 species